rnacentral:misc_RNA from 1 species
UUUCCGUAGGUGAACCUGCGGAAGGAUCAUUAACACGUAUCCACGUAUCAAACCCCUCUGUGCAAAUCUAUCUCUGAAGGUUUGGUCUUAGUUUAUCGUUCGCAUGGGUCCUAACGAAGGCGUCUCUCUCACGAGAGGCGAGGGCUCGAACGGUAGGCGUCUGACGAUCAACCGCUACUUUUCUUUCGUUGGCCCCCUCUAACUUUUUAACCCCUUGUACUCUUUUGUACUGAACCAAUUCUUCGAUACUCGCUUCUGUGAGUGACGAAUGAUAUUACGAAACUAAAGAACAACUCUUAGCAACGGAUAUCUUGGUUCCC